CUAGAUAUAAAGGAAUUUAUAUUAAUGAACUAUAAGAAGUCAGCAGAAGGCAUAGUAGGUAUGGGAACAUACUGAAGGCC
rfam:Ixodes scapularis strain Wikel colony gcontig_1108379607506, whole genome shotgun sequence.